AGUGAACGCUGGCGGUAGGCCUAACACAUGCAAGUCGAACGGCAGCACAGUAAGAGCUUGCUCUUACGGGUGGCGAGUGGCGGACGGGUGAGGAAUACAUCGGAAUCUACUUUUUCGUGGGGGAUAACGUAGGGAAACUUACGCUAAUACCGCAUACGACCUACGGGUGAAAGCAGGGGAUCUUCCGACCUUGCGCGAUUGAAUGAGCCGAUGUCGGAUUAGCUAGUUGGCGGGGUAAAGGCCCACCAAGGCGACGAUCCGUAGCUGGUCUGAGAGGAUGAUCAGCCACACUGGAACUGAGACACGGUCCAGACUCCUACGGGAGGCAGCAGUGGGGAAUAUUGGACAAUGGGCGCAAGCCUGAUCCAGCCAUACCGCGUGGGUGAAGAAGGCCUUCGGGUUGUAAAGCCCUUUUGUUUGGAAAGAAAAGCAGCAGGUUAAUACCCCGCUGUUCUGACGUUACCAAAAGAAUAAGCACCGGCUAACUUCGUG
rnacentral:rRNA from 1 species